rnacentral:rRNA from 1 species
UACAGAGGUCUCAAGCGUUGUUCGGAUUCAUUGGGCGUAAAGGGUGCGUAGGUGGCGCCGUAAGUCAGGUGUGAAAUCUCAGGGCUCAACCCUGAAACUGCAUUCGAUACUGCGUGGCUAGAGUGCUGGAGAGGAGACUGGAAUUUACGGUGUAGCAGUGAAAUGCGUAGAUAUCGUAAGGAAGACCAGUGGCGAAGGCGAGUCUCUGGACAGCAACUGACGCUGAGGCACGAAGGCCAGGGGAGCAAAACGGG